GUCCUAGCUGUAAACGGUGCUCACUUGCUGUAGACGGAAUCGACCCCGUCUGUGGCGAAGCUAACGCGUUAAGUGAGCCGCCUGGGGAGUACGGUCGCAAGAUUAAAACUCAAAGAAAUUGACGGGGGCCUGCACAAGCGGUGGAGUAUGUGGCUUAAUUCGAUGCAACGCGAAGAACCUUACCUGGCCUUGACAUGUAGGUGGUAGAAGUCUGAAAGGAUGACGACCCCGCAAGGGGAGCUUACACAGGUGCUGCAUGGCUGUCGU
rnacentral:rRNA from 1 species